rnacentral:rRNA from 1 species
UCCCAGACUCCUACGGGAGGCAGCAGUGGGGAAUAUUGCACAAUGGGGGAAACCCUGAUGCAGCGACGCCGCGUGAGCGAUGAAGUAUUUCGGUAUGUAAAGCUCUAUCAGCAGGGAAGAAAAUGACGGUACCUGACUAAGAAGCCCCGGCUAACUACGUGCCAGCAGCCGCGGUAAUACGUAGGGGGCAAGCGUCAUCCGGAUUUACUGGGUGUAAAGGGAGCGUAGACGGCGAUGCAAGUCUGAAGUGAAAGGCGGGGGCCCAACCCCCGGACUGCUUUGGAAACUGUAUAGCUGGAGUGCAGGAGAGGUAAGUGGAAUUCCUAGUGUAGCGGUGAAAUGCGUAGAUAUUAGGAGGAACACCAGUGGCGAAGGCGGUCUGCUGGACAGCAACUGACGGUGAGGCGCGAAAGCGUGGGGAGCAAACAGGAUUAGAUACCCCUGUAG